ACGCUGAACGGAAGGUUACCGACGAAGACCCUGAGAUCAUCUGAAAACUCGUCCCCGCCCGAACGCCCCUCCGCCUCGAGCUCCUCCGUCACGGCCGCGGUCGCGGCCGCUCGCACGGGCUCGAGCGGCCUAAAGCCCACCGCCGCGGCGGACAGCGCGUGGAGCUGCGGCAGCCCCGAUGGGAAGGCGGCGGCGGACGGGGCGGCGGCGGCGGGCUUAGCGGAGAGGGAGAGGAACUGGGGCAAGAGGGAGGUGGAGAAUAGCGUGGCCGCCAUGGGAAGGGCAG
rnacentral:lncRNA from 1 species